GAACCGGUUUUUUUACUCAGCAAACUGUUGAAGAAGUUAGCUAGGACACCUUCGCUUGUGGCUCCAGCUACAUCAAAAAAGUAGAAAGAUUAAUAUGAAGAGGCACAAAAAAUGCAUGAAAUGGACUCAAGACAACAUGGUCUUCAACCUAAAGCUGUGCUGGUGCUUUACACAUUUUCUAAUUGUUAACACGAUGCGAGUGACCAUAAGGGCCUCAUAUGAAGUCAACUCCCAGUUACAGCUAAACAAGAUGAGUUAUCUUGUUCAUCUUCUUAAAGAAAACAGAAUGCUUUAUCUACAAACCAAAAAAUGCACAUUUAUACUAUAUUCUUUAAAUGUGUGACCACUUAAAUUUGAGUACUUGUAUCCUUUUGUACUUUGGUGGAGAUUAAGUGGUAAAUAUAAUAUGCUUGGAAAGUCAAGUGAAUAUCAAAUGCUUUAAGGUAAUUUGCACUAGUAAGUGACCAGAACACUGACAGUGCAACCAAUAGUAUAAAUACCCAAAUCAACCAACCCUUAUCAGAUUGUGACCAGGUAGGUAUUACAGCCUUUUGAAGACACCUUCUGUCAAUAAUCUCUUUUCAGUAUUUGAUUUAGAAUGCUGAACCAAAAAUUACGCAUCUCACUAAAUCAAAUGAACCUCAGACAGGAAAAAAUUCAGAAUAAAGAGAAUUAAGAUGAAGUUCACAAUUACAGCGAGGUAGGGUUGCAACAUAUGUAAGUAUCUCUCCUAGCAUGAUAGAGCUCCUAUAAAAUUUCCUCUGAUCAACCUAUACCACCCUGCUUUAAACAGGUAGAGCAAACCA